UCAAACCUGUAGAUAUAUUUAGAUAUUCUUAUGAUAUUUAAUAUUAAUAUUAAAUCUCCAAUUUUUGAGUUCCUUCUCCACGGGCAAUGAGAUUGAGGAAGGGCAUGGUCUUGGUUUAUCUUCAUCAAGGAAUCAAGAAUAAUGCUGGACUGCACUUAUCAAGAAAUCCAACAGAAAGCUCAUGAUAAGUUGCUUGAAGCAUUGUUAAUAAGUGGUGUUUAAGGAUAACUGUCACGGUGAGGAAUAUUAGCAAGCUCAGGUCCUUCUCUGCUUGAUAACAAGCUCACUGUGAUCGGACGAUUACUUAGGUGGUUGAUCAUACAUGCCAAGGCCUCCAGAUUGUGCCUGCAUUACAGGUUUUUUAUUUACAUGACACUUUAUUGGCACCAAUUUAUUGCUUCAAUUUUUUACUGUGGCAUUGUUUGGAAGAACUCAAGUGAUAGUUGAGAUACAUAUUAGGACAUUGCAUGUUCCACUAACUGGUUUUAACUGGCUGAUAGAGAAUAAACUGUAGAGACAAGACUGUAAAGGAAAGUGACAAUGUUAUCCAACAAUCAACAAAUAGAACUCUUGAACAAUUGUUAUAGUAACGUAUAACAAUUGACUGCUGACGUUGGGAAUAGCCAGAAGUCGGACACUGCCCGUAGAACUAGUAGCCAAGUUGCUGCAUCAUCAACCAGCCAGAAUUGAAGGACUGCAAAGUAGAACUCAUAUUAGCUUGCUUCUUGCUUGGCCCAACUUUCUGGAUGGUGGGAAAAUUCACCAAAGCAACAUGUCUACCUAAGUUGAAGAAUAGAACUUAAAAUAGUUAAUCACCAUUCACAUACACCAAUAAAAGAAAAACACUGAUUCUGUAGUGCUGCAUUGUGGGAUUGAAUGGCAGGGCAAUUCUCCUUUGGCAAAGAAACAAGUAUGCAUGUGCAUGUUCUUCCUGCCAAAGGAGGAUCACACUGUUAUUCUCUCCACAUCGUUAUUAUCUUUCUUCAACCCAAUCCAAAUAUAAGUUGGGUGAGCUGAUGUCCAGCCUUUAUAUAGGACCUAGCUAAGCACCUUCAAUGGCAUAUGCUUAUGUUAAACUUGAAUGAGGACAUAGCAUAUGCUUCCAGUCUAUUCUGAUCCUUUUUGUUUUUACACCCUUUACUUUUCUUUAGGGUCAUGGUAAUUAAAAAAAGUUCUUACCUUCACUCCCCCCCCCUUUCUUCCAUGGAUAUGCGGUUUUACAUUGAUCUUAUUUUGCCAUGUCGUAAGGAAUCAGAUCCUUGGUUUUUUUGGCUUUCUUGCAUAUAAGAUUCCUCAUUCUUGUGUCGUUAAUUUUUCUUCACCAGGCAUUACGCUCAAUUUUAGUAACAACACAUAUGUAGUAAAGAAUUGAUAAAAAUGAUUCUUGUCACUAGGAAAAUCACCCUCUUCGAUUCCUAAGCAUCUCAAAACCUCAAGUUUGGGAUUUGAUAAAUAGGUGCCCAUUCAACCUUAACAUUAGUAGGGGCAUUUGAGGAUUAGAACUUUUGGAAUAUCUCAAAUUCCUUGAUAAUAGUUGUUAGUCAUAUCUCAUUAAAAUGGUGGAAUUUGAGAAAUCUACAGUAACGAAGAUAAAAAUACUCAAUCAUGAAAAAUAAAUGUCUUCUUUUAUUAAUAUGUUAGUACGUAUAUAAGGAUAGGUUAUGCUGUAUAAUGAAAUUGCGUAGGCAUCAUUCUAAUCAAUAUGUAUGCUGUACGUAAUUAUUGAAGUUAAUUCAUGGUAUUAUAGAAAUAAUCUUGUGAUAAUGGCAUUAUAAAUUCCAAUAGCCAACAUGAGUCUACUUGGAAUCAAGCAUCAAAUCACAUCUGAUUCAGAUAGACUAAAGUAAGCUAAAUCAAAUUAUAACCACCUAGAAAGAUUACGAUUGUCUUGUACUACUAUAUUAUCUUAUACUCUAUUAAACCAAAUAUAUUAGAGUUGUCUUUUGUCUAUGGACACGACUGAAUGGAUCAGUACUUAAAAUUCGAUAUUAGUAAAUAUUAGUACUAACUCUUGUCAAUUUGUUCUUAAUGCCAGUAUGUUGUCGGCUUGCCUAUUAGAUUCCAAAAAUCACCAGCCAACGAAAUUUAGAUUCAUGCCAAACAAAAAGAUAUUACAAACUCUUUGCUAUUCCAUCUGUGCUUCGAAAUGAACAGUUUAUUCCUGGUUAAGUGAUAAGGGACCUACACUCAACUAUGAGGUACAUUCUGGAAUUGUAGUGCUGAGAUUUUCCGGAUGUUAAAAGAGACAUGAAGCUUAAUCGAUACGUAUAAAUAAGCAAAGUUGGAUCUGAAAUUACAACAUGAGGGAAAAAUAUAUUAGCACCAUCAGGAAUACUACAAUAAAAAAAUAGUGUAUAUUUGUUAAUUAGUAAAUAUAAAAAUUAUUAAUAUUUUUUAAUAAUUAUUUUUGAAUAUAUAUGUUCUUGCAAUUUAAAAAUGAUUCCACAGUCCCUUCGAGACUUCAGAUUAUAAAUGAUUCAGUAGAUUCAUGUAAUAUUCUAACAUAACAUUUUCUUUCCUUCCCUCUAAAACAACCAUUCUCUUUGUGAUUGGAAAAUUACAUAGGUGGUUGAUCAUACAUGUCUAGGGCUUCAAAUUGUGCCAGCAUUUCAGGUUUUUGUUUAUUUACAUGAGACGUUAUUGACACCACUUUAUUGUUUCAUUUUUUUUACUGUGGAAUUGUUUGGAAGGACUCAAGUGAUAGUUGAGAUACAUAUUAGGACACUGGACAUAGCAUGUUUCCACCAACUGGUUUUAUAGUCAUCCCUAGUGAUUCCACUGGCUGAUAGAGAAUAAACUGUAGAGGCAAGACUGUAAAGGAAAGUGAUAAUGUUUUCCGACAAUCAAUAUGUAGAAACAUUUUUAAAAUAAACAAUACAUAGACUCGACAAUCAGUUAUGCAGUUGGGAAUAAUCCGAAGUUCGGGCCAUUGCUUGUUGAACUAGUAACCAAGUUGCUCCAUCAUCAAGCAACCAGAAUUGGCCGGACUUUCUGGAUGGUGGGCAGUCACCAAAGCAUCUGUCAACUUAAGUUGAAGAGUAGAACUUGAAAUAGUUAAUCACCAUUCACACACUUCAAUUGAAGGAAACCACUUGUUUAGUGGUGCUGCAUUGUGGGAUUGAAUGGCAGGGCAAUUCUCCUUUGGCAAAGAAACAAGUAUGCAUGUGCAUGUUCUUCCUGCCAAUGGAGGAUCGCACUGUUAUUUGCUCCACAUUAUUAUUAUUAUUAUCUUUCUUCGACUCGACCCAAAUACUAUAAGUCAGGAGAGUUGAUGCCCAGCCUUUUAUAUAGGACCUAGCUAAGCACCUUCAGUGGCAUAUGCUUAUGUUGAACUUGGAUGAGGACAUAGCAUAUGCUCCCAGUCGAUUCCGAUCCUUUUUGGUUUUCACCCUUUGCUUUUCUUUGGGGUCAUGGUAAUUACAAAAAAGUUCUCACCUUCACUCUCCCUUUUUUUCUCCCAUGGAUAUGCUCUUACAUUGAGCUUAUUUUGCCAUGUCGUAAGGAAUCAGAUCCUUGGUUUUUUGCUUUCUUACAUAUAAGAUUCCUCGUUCUUAUGUCGUUAAUUUUUCUUCACCAGGGACUACAUUCACCAUCAUUAACAACACACAUGUAGCUAAGAAUUAAGAAAGACAAUCCUUGUCAAUUGGAAAAGUACCCUCUUCGAUUUCCUUAAUAAGUAACAUGAAAUCUUAAAGUGUGAGACUUCAUGAAUAGGUUCCCUUUCAACCUUUAUAUCAGUAGGGCAUUUACUUUGAGGAUGAACCUAAAUAGACUUAAAGGGAUUAGAGCUUUGGGAUAUCUCAAGUUCCUUGCUAAUAGUUUCCAUUUGGGCUAAUUUUAGGUUGAACCAUAUCCCUUUGAAAU